CAUUCAGAGCCCCACAGGCGAGCCGCCGCUCCUAAGGACAUGGGGGAAGAGUGCCGAGGAGAGGGCGGGACGGACCUGGGUCCCCCAGCCCCUCCUCGUCCUCGCAAUGGCUACCAGCCCCACCUACCCCUUGGGGGUGGUGGGGACAAAAGAAGAAAUAGCUGUAACGUGGGGGGAGGGAGCGGUGAAAGCUUCAAACAUCCU
rnacentral:lncRNA from 1 species